UCAAAGAUAAGCUAAGUUUUUAAGGCUAUUGGGCUCAUACCCCAAACGUGAGUUGUUCUCUCUUUGUA
rnacentral:tRNA from 1 species